rnacentral:misc_RNA from 1 species
CUGACUUUGAUAAAGAGAGGACUUGUUCUACCCCCAGAUAUGAAUCGCUUUUUCUCUAUGUAAGGUUUUUUAAGGUUCAACUGAAAUUUAUGCCAGAUAUUUGUUCAGUGUUAUUGUAAUAGUGGAUAUCAUACAGCAGAAGAUUUCAGUUUUGGUACCAAUUUGUUUUGAUUGAUUCCGACUUAUUUGUUAAAUUUGCAUUUUACUGAUUUAUAUGUAUGGAAUGCUGAUUUAUUUGUCAGAAUGUGCACUGGAUACAUUUUUUUCAAACAGAAAAGAGAAACAUGUAAAACAAGUCGUUUAUUCAACUGAUGUGUGAUGAAUUGACUUUUGUUGAUGCAAUAAACUGUAUCAUAAUGUUAGACGUGUGUCAGCAUGUAAGACUGAAAUCACCAUUUCUCUGGCUGAACCUGAGUGUGCAAUGUUAUUGUUUGCCAAGUAGAUGCAUGUUGAUAUUGUUUACUGACUUGUAAUUUAAACUCGUUGACAGAAUUUAGUAGGAGGUCACUGAUAGUUUAUUAUAGGUUAUCCCCCCACCCCAUUCAGUGACCAUAACAUGUUAUAUACAAUCUUGUUAUUUUAUCCAUAUCUAUACAGUAGUUAAGAGGAGUUAGUCCAAGAGAAGGGGUUUCCUUGCAAAUGUUAUUUAUUCUUUUUUGUUGAAUGAUUUGCUGCUCAAUAGUGUUUUUACUGAGUGUUGGGCAAAUUGAGACUUAUUUUUUAUUCACAAACUGCAAGGUUUAAGAAUGUCAUCCAAGAAUAAUUGUACAAAUACAAAUACCUGUCCAGGUUUUUUUUAACAACAAAUCUUGUCAUAUUUGAUUAUCUCAUCAUCUGUAUGUGGGAAUUGGUGGCAUAUUUCAUAAUGUACAUGUAAAUGAAUGUGUAUUCUUUUCUGAAAGCAAGUAAACCAGUUGAUUGUAAACAAAG